UUGGGGACAUCUAUGAUGCCCUAUUAAACAGUGUUAUCUAUCUGCAAUUUCUUACAAUGUCUUGAAGAAGAAUUGUAACAAACUGAGACCCCAA
rnacentral:snoRNA from 1 species